AGUGAACGCUGGCGGUAGGCCUAACACAUGCAAGUCGAACGGCAGCACAGUAAGAGCUUGCUCUUACGGGUGGCGAGUGGCGGACGGGUGAGGAAUACAUCGGAAUCUACUUUUUCGUGGGGGAUAACGUAGGGAAACUUACGCUAAUACCGCAUACGACCUACGGGUGAAAGCAGGGGAUCUUCGGACCUUGCGCGAUUGAAUGAGCCGAUGUCGGAUUAGCUAGUUGGCGGGGUAAAGGCCCACCAAGGCGACGAUCCGUAGCUGGUCUGAGAGGAUGAUCAGCCACACUGGAACUGAGACACGGUCCAGACUCCUACGGGAGGCAGCAGUGGGGAAUAUUGGACAAUGGGCGCAAGCCUGAUCCAGCCAUACCGAGUGGGUGAAGAAGGCCUUCGGGUUGUAAAGACCUUUUGUUGGGAAAGAAAAGCAGCAGGUUAAUACCCCGCUGUUCUGACGGUACCCACAGAAUAAGCACCGGCUAACUUCGUG
rnacentral:rRNA from 1 species